rnacentral:tRNA from 1 species
AGGGCCGUGGGGUAGCGGUCUAUCCUGCGGGGCUUUGGACCCCGCGACCCCGGUUCAAAUCCGGGCGGCCCUA